AUUGAACGCUGGCGGCAGGCCUAACACAUGCAAGUCGAACGAGUGGCGGACGGGUGAGUAAUGUAUGAGAAACUGCCUGAUGGAGGGGGAUAACUACUGGAAAAGGUAGCUAAUACCGCAUACCAUCAGAUGUGCCCAGAUGGGAUUAGCUUGUUGGUGGGGUAACGGCUCACCAAGGCGACGAUCCCUAGCGGGUCUGAGAGGAUGAAGAGCAAAACUGGAACUGAGACAGGGUACAGACCCCUACGUGAGUAAGAAGGGGGGAAUAUUGCAAAAUGGGGGCAAGCCGAAUGCAGCCAGGCGGGGUGGAGGAAGAAGGCCGUCGGGUGGUAAAGUACUUUCAGCGGGGAGGCGUUACCCGCAGAAGAAGCACCGGCUAACUCCGUGCCAGCAGCCGCGGUAAUAC
rnacentral:rRNA from 1 species